rnacentral:misc_RNA from 1 species
GAUGAAGAACGUAGCGAAAUGCGAUAAGUAAUGUGAAUUGCAGAAUUCAGUGAAUCAUCGAAUCUUUGAACGCAUCUUGCGCUCCUUGGUAUUCCUUGGAGCAUGCCUGUUUGAGUAUCAUGAGCAAAUCUCAAAGUCAAUUCCUUUUGUUAAUUCAAUUGGUUUUGCUUUGGAGUUGGAGGUCUUGCAGAUUUUCACAGUCUGCUCCUCUUAAAUGCAUUAGCUGGAUCUCAGUAAUUAUGCUUGGUUCCACUCGGCGUGAUAAGUAUCACUCGCUGAGGACACUGUUAAAAAGGUGGCCAGGAAAAUACUGAUUGAACCGCUUCUAACGGUCUAUUAAGUUAGACAAUUACCCUUAAGUUUGAUCUCAAAUCAGGUAGGACUACCCGCUGAACUUAAGCAUAUCAAUAAGCGGAGGA